CAAGUCGAACGCUUUUCCGGGCUUUGGUCCGGGGAGGAGUGGCGCACGGGUGAGUAGCGCGUGGGAACCUGCCCUGUUGUGGGGGAUAACCGAGGGAAACCUCGGCUAAUACCGCAUAAGCCGGGUGUCUUGAGAGAGGCAUACGGGAAAGAUUUAUCGCGACAGGAGGGGCCCGCGUCGGAUUAGCUGGUUGGUGGGGUAACGGCCUACCAAGGCGAUGAUCCGUAGCUGGUCUGAGAGGAUGAUCAGCCACACUGGGACUGAGACACGGCCCAGACUCCUACGGGAGGCAGCAGUGGGGAAUAUUGGACAAUGGGCGCAAGCCUGAUCCAGCAAUGCCGCGUGAGUGAGGAAGGCCUUAGGGUUGUAAAGCUCUUUCACCCGCGACGAUGAUGACGGUAGCGGGAGAAGAAGCCCCGGCUAACUUCGUGCCAGCAGCCGCGGUAAUACGAAGGGGGCGAGCGUUGUUCGGAUUUACUGGGCGUAAAGGGCGCGCAGGCGGCUUUGUUUGUCAGGCGUGAAAGCCCCGGGCUUAACCUGGGAACUGCGUUUGAUACGGCAGGGCUAGAGUUCGGGAGAGGAGAGUGGAAUUCCCAGUGUAGAGGUGAAAUUCGUAGAUAUUGGGAAGAACACCGGUGGCGAAGGCGGCUCUCUGGACCGAGACUGACGCUGAGGCGCGAAAGCGUGGGGAGCAAACAGGAUUAGAUACCCUGGUAGUCCACGCUGUAAACGAUGUGUGCUAGACGUUGGGGAGCCUAGCUCUUCGGUGUCGCAGCUAACGCGGUAAGCACACCGCCUGGGGAGUACGGCCGCAAGGUUAAAAACUCAAAGGAAUUGACGGGGGGCCCGCACAAGCGGUGGA
rnacentral:rRNA from 1 species